rnacentral:rRNA from 1 species
AGAGUUUGAUCAUGGCUCAGGAUGAACGCUAGCGGCAGGCUUAACACAUGCAAGUCGAGGGGUAUAGUUCUUCGGAACUAGAGACCGGCGCACGGGUGCGUAACGCGUAUGCAAUCUACCUUUCACAAAGGGAUAGCCCAGAGAAAUUUGGAUUAAUACCUUAUAGUAUAGCGAGUUCGCAUGGAUUUGCUAUUAAAGAUUUAUCGGUGAAAGAUGAGCAUGCGUCCCAUUAGCUAGUUGGUAAGGUAACGGCUUACCAAGGCUACGAUGGGUAGGGGUCCUGAGAGGGAGAUCCCCCACACUGGUACUGAGACACGGACCAGACUCCUACGGGAGGCAGCAGUGAGGAAUAUUGGUCAAUGGGCGCAAGCCUGAACCAGCCAUGCCGCGUGCAGGAUGACGGUCCUAUGGAUUGUAAACUGCUUUUGUACAGGAAGAAACACCCCGACGUGUCGGGACUUGACGGUACUGUAAGAAUAAGGAUCGGCUAACUCCGUGCCAGCAGCCGCGGUAAUACGGAGGAUCCAAGCGUUAUCCGGAAUCAUUGGGUUUAAAGGGUCCGUAGGCGGCUUAAUAAGUCAGUGGUGAAAUCCCUACGCUUAACGUAGGAACGGCCAUUGAUACUGUUAGGCUUGAAUUAUUAGGAAGUAACUAGAAUAUGUAGUGUAGCGGUGAAAUGCUUAGAGAUUACAUGGAAUACCAAUUGCGAAGGCAGGUUACUACUAAUGGAUUGACGCUGAUGGACGAAAGCGUGGGUAGCGAACAGGAUUAGAUACCCUGGUAGUCCACGCCGUAAACGAUGGAUACUAGCUGUUGGAAGCAAUUUCAGUGGCUAAGCGAAAGUGAUAAGUAUCCCACCUGGGGAGUACGUUCGCAAGAAUGAAACUCAAAGGAAUUGACGGGGGCCCGCACAAGCGGUGGAGC